UACAGAGGGGGCAAGCGUUAUUCGGAAUUAUUGGGCGUAAAGGGAGCGUAGGUGGCCUUAUAAGUCAGUGGUGAAAUCUCUCAGCUUAACUGAGAAAUUGCCAUUGAUACUGUAGGGCUUGAGUAUAGUUGCCGUUGGCGGAAUAUGACAUGUAGUGGUGAAAUACAUAGAGAUGUCAUAGAACACCGAUUGCGAAGGCAGCUGACGAAACUAUAACUGACACUGAGGCUCGAAAGUGCGGGGAUCAAACAGG
rnacentral:rRNA from 1 species